CAAAUGACUCCGAAACAGGUACA
rnacentral:siRNA from 1 species